UUUGGGGGCCUAAAUAUCCUAAAGGUACCUGAUCCUGUCAGAUAUUGAAAGCUGAGGAAGAUGGUCUCUGGUUAUUACUUGGAUGGGAGACCACCAAGAAAUACCAGGUUAUUGUAGGAC
rnacentral:rRNA from 11 species